rnacentral:rRNA from 1 species
CGCGUAGGCGGACUUUCAAGUCGGAUGUGAAAUCUCCGGGCUCAACUCGGAGCCUGCAUCCGAUACUGUUGGUCUUGAGUAUAUCAGAGGAAAGCGGAAUUCCAGGCGUAGCGGUGAAAUGCGUAGAUAUCUGGAAGAACACCAGUAGCGAAGGCGGCUUUCUGGGGUAAUACUGACGCUGAAGCGCGAAGGCUAGGGGAGCAAACA